UAUAUUGAUUUAUUGCAUUAAACCAAAAAUAAAAGAAUUUAAUUGAAUUAAUUUAUUUAACAAGAGAUAUGAAUAUUAGUCCAUACUGGUUUAGUUAAGUAUUAUUUUAUAUAACUAAUGCCAACCGAGAACUACCCUGUGAGGAAUGGCUUUCGGAAAACAAAAGUCUAAGAAAAUAAUAUUUUGUAGCAGAGCUUACGGUAAGAUGGACAUAUUUAUGCGAGUAGAGAUAGCAUCAAUGGAUACUUGGACUCAAUAAUAUUUAAAAAUCAUCAUUUGUUAACUGAAAUACAGGAUUUUGCUGCAAGGAAUCGAGACCGUACAACAGAAUAAUACAAAGUCUCAAAAUCUACUGCGUUAUCAACAAACUUGAAUUCACAAUUUUUAUGGACUAUUGGGGUUCACAAGAAGCAUGGGUACUGUUGAUAAAUAGCGUGGUUUUAUCAUAGACAAUGUUAGUAAAGCUUCUUAAGUUAUUUUCAGGAAUGCAUUUAAUCACCCAGCCUAGAACAUUAAGCAAUGGCAAUAGUGUGGAUAAGUUAAACAGGAAACAGUUGCCUAAAUUUAAGAUUAAAGUACACGUCAAGCAAAAACUAACUAAGCCAAAUAUUAAUAUUAAAAAACUACCUUGGCUUAUUGGAAGGCGAUCUAAAGUAUCUCAGCAAAAAGAACAUGAUAUACCAACAAGUCUUCAAGCAUAUAUGACUCUAUAAGGUCCAAAUUUGACGUUGUGCUAGAAAACAUAUAAUAGAUGUGAUACAAAAAUUCCAACACACAGCACUUAUGGAUGCAGUUAACGCCCUGUGGUACGUGGAAAUGCUGAUCUGCAUCGUGACCUUGAAAUACCUACUGUCAAGCAAAAAAUACAGAAGGUUGCUAAAACACAUUAUGACAGGUUGAGUCAACAUUUAUACAGCGCUGUUCCAGCGUUACUUUGCGAUGAUAUACAUAGACGCUUAAGUCGCAUCACAUUAAGGGACUUUUGGAGGUGUUUAAACCAGCAAAGAGGUAUUUAGCUCAGAUCAAUAUGCUCAGUUUAGAUAACUAACAUUACUUGUAAUAUAUUAAAUUAAAAAACCUCUUA